UCAAAUCCCCCAAAAAGUCAAAAUCCAAAAGUUCUCAUCUCUACUUUCUCUCUCUAUUCAACCUCCAUUGAAGGAUGAAAAAAGCUUGAAGAAGAAGACCAAUUUCUCUAGGAUUUCACUUCAAUUUCGUGGAUUAAUCUUCAUUAAGGAUCCGACCGUUGAGCUUAGUUGAUGGCCAUUAAUGACUACUUGGACAUUUUCCAAAUGUUUCGGUGGGUCCUCACUUUCCGAUGACAAUGUCAUUAUCAAGCUAUUGAUGUUGUUCUAGUUAUAAGACUUCUAGUUCUUUCCUUUAAUUUGGAGACGAUUGUUAUAUGAGCCUAUACGAGGCUCUUUGUUGUAAUGAAGUAUGGGUUAAGCCCAAAUUGUUGUAUUCGUUUUAGAUGGUUCUAAUAUGAGACAUAUUAUAGACUUCCUAUGA